AUGGAAGGAGACGGCAACGAGAUCUCGCGUCUGCCGGAGGAGCUCCUCGCAUCGAUCCUCUCCCGCACGUCGCCGCCGGACGCCGGACGCUGUGCCGCUGUCUCCCGGGCCUUUCUUGCCGCCGCGGACUCCGAUGUCGUCUGGUCCUGCUUCCUGCCCCGUGACCUCCCACGGCUCGCUGAAGGUGUGCUCCCCCACGCGCCGCUGUCCAAGAAGGGCUUGUUCCGAUGCCUCUCCGAUCAACCGGCGCUCCUCCCAGGCAACCUCGUGAGCAUGUGGCUGGACAAAAAGACAGGCGCCAUGUGCUACAUGCUCUCGGCGAGGUCGAAGCAUAUUUCAUGGGGAGAGACAAUAGAUUACUGGGAACGGAUCAAGCUCGGUUCUGAUGAGAUCCAAGCAAACAACAGCUUCUGUGAAGCAGCUCAACUUCGGGGAGUUUGGUGGCUGUUAAUCCGUGGCGAAAUACAUAGCACAAUGCUCAGCCCAAACUCCAAGUAUGCUGCUUACAUGGUGUUGAAGCUAGCCGAUGAGUUCUUCAAUCUCGAUUUCCCGUUUCAAGAGGCAUCAAUCAGUGUUGGAGGGAUUGACGACUCAACACGCCAAGUUUGCCUCCAAGCCUACAUAGAGGACGGGGAUGACGGGGUACCUCGCAAACAUAUCUUGAGGUGUAGUUGGGAAGACUAUAUGCCUCAUACGAACUGUGAUGCAAUUCCUCUCACAGAAGAUGUUAUGCUCCCUCGAAAAAGGGCUGACGGCUGGAUGGAGGUCGAGCUUGGUGAGUUCUACAACGGAGAAGGCUGUGACAGCGAGGUGUCUGUGUGCCUAAAGGAAACAGAGGGAGGAGUUUGGAAGACUGGUCUUAUUGUGUGGGGUAUUGAGAUUAGAACUAAGAAAUGA
rnacentral:rRNA from 1 species